UAAUCCCGGAGCCCCGAGUGGUGACCACAAUUAUUGGGCCUAAAGCGUCCGUAGCCGGACUGAAAAGUCCUUGGUGAAAUCCUUUCUCACAAGGAAAGGGCGUGCUGAGGAUACUAUUAGCCUAGGGACCGGGAGGGGGCGAAGGUAUUCCUGGGGUAAGGGUUAAAUCUAGUAAUCCCAGGAGGACCACCGGUGGCGAAGGCGUUCGCCUGGAACGGGUCCGACGGUGAGGGACGAAAGCCAAGGUAGCGAACCGGAUUAGAUACCCGGGUAGUCUUGGCCGUAAACGCUGCCCACUAGGUGUUGCAUGUUCUUCGUGAGCAUGCAGUGCCGGAGCGAAGGUGUUAAGUGGGCCGCCUGGGGAGUACGAUCGCAAGGUUG
rnacentral:rRNA from 1 species